ACGGAAGGCAGCAGUGGGGGAUAUUGCACAAUGGGGGAAACCCUGAUGCAGCGACGCCGCGUGAGUGAAGAAGUAUUUCGGUAUGUAAAGCUCUAUCAGCAGGGAAGAUAAUGACGGUACCUGACUAAGAAGCACCGGCUAAAUACGUGCCAGCAGCCGCGGUAAUACGUAUGGUGCAAGCGUUAUCCGGAUUUACUGGGUGUAAAGGGAGCGCAGACGGCAUAGCAAGCCAGAUGUGAAAGGUGGGGGCUCAACCCCCAAACUGCAUUUGGAACUGUUAAGCUAGAGUGUCGGAGAGGUAAGUGGAAUUCCUAGUGUAGCGGUGAAAUGCGUAGAUAUUAGGAGGAACACCAGUGGCGAAGGCGGCUUACUGGACGAUAACUGACGUUGAGGCUCGAAAGCGUGGGGAGCAAACAGGAUUAGAUACCCUGGUA
rnacentral:rRNA from 1 species